GAUGAACGCUGGCGGCGUGCCUAAUACAUGCAAGUCGAGCGAACGGACGAGAAGCUUGCUUCUCUGAUGUUAGCGGCGGACGGGUGAGUAACACGUGGAUAACCUACCUAUAAGACUGGGAUAACUUCGGGAAACCGGAGCUAAUACCGGAUGAUAUUUUGAACCGCAUGGUUCAAAAGUGAAAGACGGUCUUGCUGUCACUUAUAGAUGGAUCCGCGCUGCAUUAGCUAGUUGGUAAGGUAACGGCUUACCAAGGCAACGAUGCAUAGCCGACCUGAGAGGGGGAUCGGCCACACUGGAACUGAGACACGGUCCAGACUCCUACGGGAGGCAGCAGUAGGGAAUGUUCCGCAAUGGGCGAAAGCCUGACGGAGCAACGCCGCGUGAGUGAUGAAGGUCUUCGGAUCGUAAAACUCUGUUAUUAGGGAAGAACAUAUGUGUAAGUAACUGUGCACAUCUUGACGGUACCUAAUCAGAAAGCCACGGCUAACUACGUG
rnacentral:rRNA from 1 species